rnacentral:rRNA from 1 species
GUGCAAUGGCAUAAGCCAGCUUGACUGCGAGCGUGACGGCGCGAGCAGGUGCGAAAGCAGGUCAUAGUGAUCCGGUGGUUCUGAAUGGAAGGGCCAUCGCUCAACGGAUAAAAGGUACUCCGGGGAUAACAGGCUGAUACCGCCCAAGAGUUCAUAUCGACGGCGGUGUUUGGCACCUCGAUGUCGGCUCAUCACAUCCUGGGGCUGAAGUAGGUCCCAAGGGUAUGGCUGUUCGCCAUUUAAAGUGGUACGCGAGCUGGGUUUAGAACGUCGUGAGACAGUUCGGUCCCUAUCUGCCGUGGGCGCUGGAGAACUGAGGGGGGCUGCUCCUAGUACGAGAGGACCGGAGUGGACGCAUCACUGGUGUUCGGGUUGUCAUGCCAAUGGCACUGCCCGGUAGCUAAAUGCGGAAGAGAUAAGUGCUGAAAGCAUCUAAGCACGAAACUUGCCCCGAGAUGAGUUCUCCCUGACUCCUUGAGAGUCCUGAAGGAACGUUGAA